AAAAAUUUACUUUCAGGGAUCAUUUCUAUAGCGAUUUGCUAGCGAACUGCGUUUUUUUUUAAAGUGUUUGACUCGCUAUCACACGGAAGAGUGAGAGGUGUUCGCUUUUGAGCGUGAAGGAGGCCAGUGAGUGUUGUUUUGGGCCAACUGCUCACUGUUUAUCAUUUGAUGGACCCUCGUGUUCCUUAGGGGGCUGGAGGAAGCGGACACGUUUCUGAGUGUG
rnacentral:snoRNA from 1 species